ACGACAGAUUUGUACCUUGUCAGCUCGGGGGUUUGAACUCGCAACCUUCCGGUUACUAGUCCAACGCUCUAACCACUAGGCUACCCUGCCUAUAUAUAUUCAAUGUUAUCUUAUAAAGAAGGGUUGAAUUUGGACUUGUCAGUAGUCAUUAGAAGUUAGAAACAGGAAUGUUUAUUUAGGGUUUAAACUAACGGGUUGCCUCCCACAAUGUAGACAAUGGCUGUUGCGAUUGAACCACAUGAUUAAAGAUGCUGUCUUUGUCUCAGCUUAGACUUCCCUUAGAGUGUACGUCAGAGGUUCAAACAGUAGAACCCAGUUCCUACAUUUUAAAAUAUAUAUUUUUUUAAUCAAUCAAAACUAUGCUACAUUUUAUCUCUGAGGCCAUCAGGAUGACGAAUCAGAGCAACAUUACUGAAUGUAAGUACAUUAUUUACCUUCAGAGGGGAAUGUAUUAAACCAGUUGCCGAGAUAAGUGUUUUGUUGUUGUGCACUCUCUUCAAACAAUACCAAGCAUGGUAUUGUUUCUCUGUAAUGGCUACUGUAAAUUGGACACUGUAGUUAGAUUAACAAGAAUGAACAAGAAUAUAAAUAAAGACCAUAUAAGGACAUGUCUGUCCCGGAAAGUUGGCUGCUGUAUACAGAGUCAUUCUAGUCACAUUAGAGCACGUUAACAACAAUAAUCCCGGUUUAGGGACAGCAAUCCCGUAGAGGUUUUAAACGGUAUGUACUUAAUAUUUGAAUGAAAUAAAAUGGUUUUAAAAUUGUAUCUCAUCCCUUAAUUAAUGGGAAGAUCUCGUUCUCUCUCCCACUCCGGUCUGUAACGAAGAAAAAAUACGUUAAACAGCGAUUCUCAGGAGCAAAUCGCAUGCAGCCAAACCCCGUCACAUUAUUGUAGACCUGACAUACAGCCAAGAAGAAUAACGGGGUCCAGGUGGACCCUGAACGGCUUCGGAAGAGCAGAUGACACAUCCGAUGACACAGAUGCAAUUCUCCUGUACUGUACGAACGUUUUUUUCAAACACACCGAGAACAGAGGAUUUACACGUCCGGUCGACUCCCCCGGAAACCUCCACCAGCUCGCUCCAUAUUUCUAACCCAAGCAAACAACGCACAACUCGGCACAAAUACAUUGCUCAGAAUCAACCCCUCCGGAAAAGUACGACAGGAUAGGGAAUUUACGAGACGGCGCUCCAUGGACACGGCUCCAACGAGACAGGCCUGGCAGAAUCGGGAAUCGGGAAUUCUUGGUGACAAAAGUCAAGCCCCCCGGUUUACGCGAUUCGUCAGAACAGCCCUCGUCAAAAAAGCAGAGACUCCUCCCCGGCGUAUAACGGCACCGAAGACCUCACACAUCUUAAGCGCGAGGAGGAUUCCGGCUCACUGAACAUUCCCAAUGAAACAACCAAACCGGAGGAUUUCAACGUUAUAAAUUACAUUUCAGAGGCAGACGACCGGUUAUCAUGGGAUGCGGCCAACCUUCUUGAUUCUGCCAAUUCUGUGGUGACAACAGAUGGAUCUGAAAUAGAACAAGGUAGGUUUUUCACAGCCUUUUCCAGGGCUCUAAAAUCCCGAAAGGUUUUGCUACACAGACGUCUGGGUGUUUUACUAGAGCGCCAAUACCGUCAGGAUAUAUCCUUCUGGCAUAGAGCAAUUCCACGUAUGUUAAACAGCAAUCCGAUUAAAAAACGCAAAUACAGGCGUUAAAAGCAUAUACAGUGCCUUGCGAAAGUAUUC